rnacentral:tRNA from 1 species
GCCCUGAUGGUGGAAUUGGUAGACACGCAGGACUUAAAAUCCUGUGAGCAGUAAUGUUCGUGUGGGUUCAAGUCCCACUUGGGGUA